rnacentral:rRNA from 1 species
CGGAAUUAUUGGGCGUAAAGGGAGCGCAGGCGGGAAACUAAGCGGAUCUUAAAAGUGCGGGGCUCAACCCCGUGAUGGGGUCCGAACUGGUUUUCUUGAGUGCAGGAGAGGAAAGCGGAAUUCCCAGUGUAGCGGUGAAAUGCGUAGAUAUUGGGAAGAACACCAGUGGCGAAGGCGGCUUUCUGGACUGUAACUGACGCUGA